GGGAUAUUGCGCAAUGGACGAAAGUCUGACGCAGCGACGCCGCGUGGGUGAUGAAGGUUUUCGAAUCGUAAAGCCCUUUUCUGCGUGACGAUAAUGACGGUAGCGCAGGAAAAAGUGUCGGCUAACUACGUGCCAGCAGCCGCGGUAAAACGUAGGACGCAAACGUUAUCCGGACUUACUGGGCGUAAAGGGCGCGCAGGCGGGUCGGUAAGAGAGGCAGGAACGCUCCCUGGCUAAACCGGGAGAGGAUGUCUGAGACUGCCGAUCUAGAGUGAGGUAGAGGGGUGUGGAAUUCCGCGUGUAGUGGUGAAAUGCGUAGAGAUGCGGAGGAACACCAGUGGCGAAGGCGGCACCCUGGACCUUGACUGACGCUGAGGCGCGAAAGCAUGGGUAGCGAAC
rnacentral:rRNA from 1 species